AAGAGAGCAUAUCCGCUGAAUUUAAGCAUAUAAUUAAGCGGAAGAAAAGAAAAUAACAAUGAUUCCUUUAGUAACGGCGAGUGAACAAGGAAAAGCUCAAAAGGAAAAUCCGCGCGUGGCGAAAACUACGGUGUGGAAUUGUCUGGUUGGGGUUUAAUAUUCUCCCUAUGCUUUGUUAGGUUACGAAAUUAGUAGGAAUACUAUUCCAUAGAGGGUGAAAGGCCCGUAGUUCCCUACAAUUAUAGAUGGAGUAUUCCCUGUAGAGUUGUGUUCUUUGAGAUUGGAGCACGAAUAUGUGUGAUACAUUUCACAUAAAGCUAAAUAUUUGUAGGAAACCGAUAGUAAACAAGUACCGUGAGGGAAAGAUGAAAUAGCACUUAGGAAUGAGGUUUAAACAAUACCUGAAAUCGUUAAGGUGGAACGGAUUGAGAGAGAAAUAACGUAAGAUUAAUAAUAUUUAUUUUUUCUCGACGGAGGAUUUAAAUAUUCAUAUCUUAUUAAAGAAGCAUCAGUGAACUUUUGGAUCAUUAAAACAUGGUUUCGUUCUUUACAAUCAUAAUGUGUUUUCUAAAGAUUUCGUAUCACUCUGCUGAUGGUUACAUACGAGCCAUUGCGAUGUAUCUAGUUUACUGAGGCGUAAUAUAAUAAGUUGGUGUGACGCCCAUACUUGUUUAAGUUGCUUCUAAAAAGCACUUUCUCAACCCACCCGUCUUGAAACACGGACCAAGGAGUCUAACAAAUGUGCAAGCGUAUAUAUGUUUUUAACUAUACAAUAAAGAAAUUAUACUUUAUAAUUACGCGUAAUUAAUGUGACCAUUCUGGCUUAAAAACGGGUGUAGAUUAUACUGAAAUUGAAUUAUUUAUUUUUCACUUGAAGUAUAUGCAUACAAUACCAGUUAGCAAUUAUGCUUAAUUGAGUAUGAGUAUAUUUGUUAGGACCCGAGAGGCUUUGAACUAAGCGUGGUGAGAUUGAAGUCAGACGAAAGUCUGAUGGAGGAUCGAAUUGAUACUGACGUGCAAAUCGUUCAUUUCAAUCACGUUUAGGGGCGAAAGACUAAUCGAAAAGCCUAUUAGCUGGUUAUUUUCGAAAGAUCUCUCAGGAUCGCUGGAGUUGAUUAAUAUAGUUUUACGAGGUAGAGAUAAUGAUUAGAGGACUCAGGGAAAGCGUUUCCUUGACCUAUUCUCAAACUCCCAAUACGUAAUAAGGGAAUUAUAUCUUAACUGCAUUUUUUCCAUUAUAAAUAAAAUAACUCCAAGUGGGCCAUUUUUGGUAAGCAGAACUGGCGAUGAGGGAUGCUCCUAACGCUUGGAUAAGGUGCCUAAAUAUUCGUUCAUAGAUACCAUAAAAGGUGUUGUUUUAUAAUGACAGUAGGACGGUUGUCAUGGAAGUUGAAAUCCGCUAAGGAGUGUGUAAAAACUCACCUACCGAAUGGAGUAGCCCUGAAAAUGGAUGGCGCUAAAACGAGUUACCGAUACCAGGCCAUAGAAAGAACACAAAGAACGAGAGUUGCGCCCUUUUUUUUUCUCGAAUCUUUCUAUGAGUAGAAAAUCGUGGGGUUUGUGUCGAAGCAAUAUGCGUGAGCUAUUGUGGAACAUAUCCCUAGUGCAGAUCUUGGUGGAAGUAGCAAUAAUUCAAAUGAGAACUUUGAAGACUGAAGUGGAGAAGGGUUUCUUGACAACUUUGAUUGUACAAGAGUUAGCCGCUCCUAAGGGAAAGCUGAAAUGCAUUUAAAUGGGGACUUGGUGCUUCAAGCAAUUGUUGCAUCUUUUCUCUGUCCCAAAAGGGAAACAGGUUAAUAUUCCUGUGCCUAGGUCAGUGUUAUGUAUAUGAUGGUAACAUAAUUUGGAGUGAACUUCUUAACGUAGGUUUCCCGUCCGAGAUGCGUUAUCUUUGCAUAUUAACUCUCGAAAUCGACCUUGGAAUCAAUUUAAUUGGAGAAGAGGUUUAUUCAAUUGCAAUUCAGAACGUAUUUAAGUGGGAAUUAUUUAUAAUUCUCAUUUAAAAAAAUUCUGUUUUGUAGUAAUAGUAAUUCAAUAUUUUGAAUUAUCGGAAUGCGAAAACUACCCUUGAAAAAAGAAGGGAAUAGCUAUAUGUAGUGACCAUAUUUUGACGUUUUUAAGAGAGAUGUAUAUUAAAUUGUAAGGUUGUAUUUAAGCCUGCACUCUUGCAAUUUGUAUAUAAUUGCUUUUAAAUAAUAAAUAUGUUAACUAUGAUAGCAUAUAUAACGAUGCCACAUAGUGCGUACCCACAACCGCAUCAGGUCUCCUAGGUUAAUAGCCUCUGGUUAAAUAGAAAAAAGCAGGUAAGGGAAGUAAGCAAAUUGGAUCCGUAACUUCGGGAAAAGGAUUGGCUCUGAGGACAUAUGAGUAGAAAAGUUUAAAUUAGCAUUUGAAAAAUGUUAUAAGGAAAGCAUCUUGGUUCGCCACGGUGUUUUUUUUUAUUUCAUUUUCCUUAUGUUUAUUUUAUUCUAUCCCUCUACUCGCCGCCAUUAUUAUUACUUCGGUGAUAUUAAUGGCUAUUAUGUUAACUCAGAACUGAAACGGACAAGGGGAAUCCGACUGUUUAAUUAAUACAUAGCAUUGUGAACGCCAUAAAUGGUAUUAACACAAUGUGAUUUCUGCCCAGUGCUUUGAAUGCCAACUUGAUGAAAUUCAAUUAAGCACAGGUAAACGGCGGGAGUAACAAAAAAACUCUCUUAAGCAAGAUGCAUUGUGUCAUGGAAUUAUGACGUAAUGAUAGAUUAACGAGAUUCCCACUGUCCCUACUUGCUAUCUAGCGAAACCACAACCAAGGGAACGGGCUUGGUAAAAUCAGCGGGGAAAGAAGACCCUGUUGUGCUUUACUCUAGUCUGGCUUUGUGAAACGACUUAAGAGGUGUAGCAUAAGUGGGAGUAGGGAUUGAAAUAUAUCUUCUACGUCAAUUAAAUACCACUACUUUUAAUGAUGUUUCACUCAUCUAUUUACCAGGAUAUUAUACAUGUCGAGAAUUUCGGUUCUUGUUCUGUAUAUAAAAUAUUAUGCGUGUUGAAGAUAACUUCACGGUUAUCUUAUUAUCCUAACCCGGGGUAUAGAGACAUGGCCAGGUGGGGAGUUUGACUAGGCGGUACAUCUGUUAAACAAUAAUGUAGAUGUCCAAAGACAAGCUCAAAGAGAACAGAAAUCUCUUGUAGACUAAAAGGGGACAAGCUUGUUUGAUUUCUAUUUUCAGAAAAAGUAGAAAACGUGAAAGCGUGGCCUAUCGAUCCUUUAUAUUUGCAAAAUGACGGGACUUGCUCCCUACUGUGCAUAUAGGGGUGUCCGAAAAGUUACCACAGGGAUAACUGGCUUGUGGCUGCCAAGCGUUCCUAGCGACGUAGCUUUAUGAUCUUCGAUAUCGGCUCUUCCUAUCAUUGGGACGCAGAAGUCUCAAAGUGUCGGAUUGUUCACCCGCUAAUAGGGAACGUGAGCUGGAUUUAGACCGUCGCGAGACAGGUUAGUUUUACCCUACUGAUGAAUUUUAUUAUUAUAUUAUAAAUAUAUAAUGUAUUGUGACAGUAAUUCAACUUGGUACGAGAGGAUUAGUUGGUUCAGACAUAUGGUACAGCGAUUGGUUGACCAACCAUUGUCGCGAAGCUACGUCUGUUGGAUAAUGACUGAACGCCUCUUAAGUCAGAACCCAUGCUGAUUAAACGAUACUAUUGGUUCUUUUUUGCCCACUUUUGCAAUAUUGUAAAAGAAAAAAAAUAUGUACUCAUACUAGCAAGUUUUGUAUGAAUGCAACUAUUUCCAUGGCCCAUUAGGAUCUGGUAUUCUUUUGGGUAUUACUAAUUUAACAACGAAAAAGACAAACACAAAUUGUAGACGACUUUUAUAUCUUAAGGUGCUGUAAACAUGAAAGUAAACCUUGUUUUACGAUCUGUUGAGGCUCAUCCUUUAUGAUAAAGUGUUAUUAAUU
rnacentral:rRNA from 1 species